AGCCACCCACCGGGAGCAGGUUCUCCCCCCGCACAUCCCACCGCCGCCACCGUCGUCACCGCGCCACUCGCGCAUCGAGUCACGUGCGCAAGCGCGUUACGUACUUACACGCAUUUUCGUGAAACGAGAAACGAAAUACGACGGGAGAGAGAGCGAGAGAGAGAGAGAGAGAGAGAGAGAGAGAGAGAGAGAUAGAGGGGGGGGGAGAAGAAUUCGAAGAGAAAAAGAGAGACAGACGAUAGAGAUAGAUAGGACGCGAAUAUUCAAUCAUCCAGUUCAAACAGGUCGUGGGUAUGGUAUGGACGGGAGGAGGACAAAAAAAGCGCGGGUAGAGCUUUCAAAAAGCAAGCAAGCAAACUCAUCGUUGACGACGGCCGGAAGAACGAAGGAUGAGGAGGGGAGAGAACGAUAAAGGAGGAGGAGGAGGAGGAGGAGGAGGAGGAAGAAGUGGAGGGAAAGGGCGAGGGCGCAGAGGGGAAUGCACGGAUCGGAACUAUCUUUGAGUGUGUAUUACACGAGAGGAUUGGAGAGAGGGGGAGUGAGAGAGAGAGAGAGAGAGAGAUGCGUAGAGAUCGAUGCGGAACGCAUCUUCGAUGAAUUCGACGCUUACAUAUAUAGGGUAGAUAAUGCACGAGAGACGCGAGACGACGGUCGGCAACUGACACGAAAUGUUCGAGAAAAGGGCGGAAAAUUCAAACGUUCUCAAAGUUUAAACAUCGACGACCUCGCUGUAUGAAAAAGAAAACAAGUGAACCGUAAUGCAAGUGCUUCUCAAUUCGAUAGGUUAGCUCGAUAAGGAACUAGGAUGAUUUGAGAAUCACUGGAAUGCGGUGAACAUAGCGGUAGUAGCCUUGAUUACUGGACAAUGGAACCUAACGAGAGGCAGGGUCGAUCCUGUGUCUUUCAUAUGUAUUGCUCUUAUGCUUUAAGAUAGAAAAUAUGAUGGUUGGUACGUUAUUACGAUUCAGAAUAUCGUAUUGUAAAAAAAAAAAACCAAAAAGAAAGAAAGAAAAAAAAAUAUUACUUCUUACAUAUUUCUCGCUAACACCGUUCGUGGAUUUUCGCGAAUCGGUCAAAAUUUUUGUUUAGAGGCAAAGGAGAGACAUCUGGAUCGUUUCUCGCGAAUCAUCAAAGCUCUAACGUUCGAACGCAAUGAUUCCCGUCUGAAGAAAAAAAUUUAUGGUCGCUCUUUGUACGUAGCUAUAUACACGCACACGCAUGCAUGCAAUAUAUUUAAACCGUUCGUUGUUAGGCAAUUUAAUUUUAAGGUGACGUAGAUAAUCAAAAAUGGUGGCUCGGUGAUAUGUCCGAUUAUAAAACACCAAAAAUUUAUUAUUUAUACUCGAAAUAACGAUCGAAAUAACUAAAUGAAUUAGUUGAGGUUAAGGGAAUGAAUAAUAUGGAAUGUUCGUUUGUAGAAGAUUCAAGAUGGCGGAAUCGAAUAUACAUUUGCAUCGUUAUUAACCUCUCAGCGAGUAGACAUUUAUUCCUUGGCUAACAACCCGAUGUCGGUUCCCCUUUUUGUCGGCGAUUUAUAUUUGGCUCGUAUUCAAAACAGAGAGAGAGAGAGAGAGAGAGAGAGAGAGAGAAAGAGAGAGAGAGAGGAGAGAGAGAGAGAGUGUGUGUAGUGCAAGUUCGUCGUCCGACAUCGUAUGAUUCAAAUAGCCAGGCAAACUUAUCUCUUUCGUACGAUGCCCAGGGGAUCACCGAUGAAGUGAGCAAAAUAUAAUUUUGUAUACGAGGAAAGUAUAAACGACGAAAAAAGAUGGCCAGCAGAGUGAGUUGGCAUCGUAGCUUCUCGCGCUGAUUCAAACGUCUCGAAUAUUCGCGCCAUUUUUCGAACGUAGUAAAUAUGAACCUUCUUUGAAUUUAUUUCUAAAUAGGACAAUGUUUUCCAUAAAUAAAGUUUACAAAUAUUCGUCGUGAAUAUUGUAUCGAUCGUAUUUAUAUAUGAGAUAUUUCCUGUUAUUGGUUCAUAUAAAAUUUAUCAAUAAGUUAAGUCCUUAUAGGUUAGUAAAAAAAAAAAAAAAAAAAAAAAAAAAAAAAAGUAAACAACU